GCCCUCGUUGUCUAAUGGUUAUGACGUCAGACUUCUACCAUUAUAGGCAUCUGGAGGUUGCGAGUUCGAGUCUCGCCGGGGGUA
rfam:Stereum hirsutum FP-91666 SS1 unplaced genomic scaffold STEHIscaffold_5, whole genome shotgun sequence.